rnacentral:rRNA from 1 species
CCUACGGGCGGCAGCAGUGAGGAAUAUUGGUCAAUGGACGAGAGUCUGAACCAGCCAAGUAGCGUGAAGGAUGACUGCCCUAUGGGUUGUAAACUUCUUUUAUAUGGGAAUAAAAUGUUCCACGUGUGGGAUUUUGUAUGUACCAUAUGAAUAAGGAUCGGCUAACUCCGUGCCAGCAGCCGCGGUAAUACGGAGGAUCCGAGCGUUAUCCGGAUUGAUUGGGUUUAAAGGGAGCGUAGGUGGAUUGUUAAGUCAGUUGUGAAAGUUUGCGGCUCAACCGUAAAAUUGCAGUUGAAACUGGCAGUCUUGAGUACAGGAGAGGUGGGCGGAAUUCGUGGUGUAGCGGUGAAAUGCUUAGAUAUCACGAAGAACUCCGAUUGCGAAGGCAGCUCACUGGACUGCAACUGACACUGAGGCUCGAAAGUGUGGGUAUCAAACAGGAUUAGAUACCCUGGUAGUC